GACGUCCUGGAUGUGCCGGGGCCUUAUGGGGACAUGCCAGGGCCUUGCAGGGACACGGGGACAUCCUGGAUGUGCCAGGRCCUCAUGGGGACACGGGGACAUCCCGGAUGUGCUGAGGCCUUAUGGGGACAUCCCAGGGCCUUGCGGGGACACGGGGACAUCCUGGACGUGCCAGGGCCUCAUGGGGACAUGGGGACAUCCCGGACGUGCCUGGGCCUUGCGGGGACGGAUCAGGGCUUUGCGGGGAUACACCACGACCUUAUGGGGACACGGGGAUGUCCCCAGGCCCUCCGGGGAUGUCCUGGAGCCUUACGGGGACGUGAGGACGUCCCCGGGCCCUCUGGGGACGUCCAGGAUGUCCCCAGGCCCUGUGGGGACCUCCCAGGGUCCUACAGGGACAUUAUGGGGAUGUGGGGAUGUCCUGGACAUCCUGGGGCCAUAUGGAGACAUCAUGGAGCCUUACAGGGACGAUGGGGACAUCGCAGGGACACGGGGACGUCCUGGUACCCUACAUGGACUUUAUGGGGACAUGGGGACGUCCUGGAUGUCCCAGGGCCCUCUGGGGACCUUAUGGGGAAGUCCCGGAUGUCCUGAUGCCCUAUGGGGACAUUGCGGGGGCGUGGGGACAUCCCGGAUGUCCUAGGACCCCACGGGGUCAUUAUGGGGCUGUGGGGACAUGGGGAUGUCCCAGUGCCCUGCGGGGACACGGAGACAUCCUGGAUGUGCCAGGACCCCCGUGGGGACAUUAUUGGGAUGCCCUGGAUGUCCCAAUGCCCUGUGGGGACAUGGAGAUGUYACGGAUGUCCCAGGAUCCCAUGGGGAUGUCUUGAGUGUCCCAGGACCCCAUGGGGACGUCCCCAUGGGGACAUCCUGGAUGUCCUGGUGCCCCAUGGGGAUGUCACGGAUGUUCCAGGAUCCCAUGGGGAUGUCCUGAGUGUCCCAGGAUCCCAUGGGGACAUCCCGGACGUCCUGGUGCCCCAUGGGGACUUCCUGGACAUCCCAGUGCCCCAUGGGGACGUCCCGGAUGUCCCAGGAUCCCAUGGGGACGUCCUGGGUGGCCCAGGUCCUCAUGGGGACAUCCCGGAUGUCCUGGUGCCCCAUGGGGACGUCCCAGAUGUCCCAGGAUCCCGUGGGGACAUCUCGGACGUCCCGGCGCCCCGUGGGGACGUCCCAGGUGUCCCGGCGCCCCAUGGGGACCCCGUGGGGACAUCCUGGAGCCUUAGGGGGCCGGGGGGGCGCCUGCCUUGC
rnacentral:lncRNA from 1 species